UAGAAAGGAGAAUGUUGGUAAUUUCCCCUCUUGAACACCUUUGUUUGUAAGUCAUAAAACUCGUGAUAAUACAAGUUUAGUUUCACCCACCAAAGUCUGCUCAAUGAUGAAAGUAUGCCUUCAGGUUUACCUUGUAGUAUAAAUAAAAACAAGGUUUAAGUGAUUACGUGCCUUUCAGGCUGUCGACCACUGUAUAGUUUCCUCCCUCUCCCCCACAUAGCCAUACACCUAGUUAUACAUAUGAUAGUGAUAUAGGCGUGUUUCAGAUAUAAAGGGUGCUAAGACGUAACCCUCGGCGUACAUUCCGUUAGAGUUAGAGGAUAACAACAGACAUUAUAGUAAAGUCUACUUUAAACAGCCACCAUGAACAGUAAGCUGUUGGUUCUUACUAUAAUCACUCUUGUCCUGGUGUUGAACCUUACCGAUGCUUAUCCGUAUGGUGGAUUUAGACGACGUAGAUUCGGACGUUUUCGUAAAUUUGGCGGCGGUUUCGGUGGAGGGUUUGGCGGUGGAUUUGGAGGUGGAUUUGGCGGUGGAUUUGGCGGUGGAUUUGGUGGCGGAUUUGGUGGAGGAUUUGGCGGUGGUUAUCGUAAACAUUAUGGACGUUGAGACAACCGUCACUUGUAAGUGUGAAGGACAACAAUGAACAACCAGGAAAGAACACGUACUUCUCUCACUGUGCAUAUUUAUAUAAAGGAAAAUUGUACUUAAUGAUUUGAGUGACCAAACAUUUGAAAUAUUUUGUUCUUUUUUAAGAUUUUCAUAAAUAAACUAAUAAAUUUACAGUUAGAAA